rnacentral:snoRNA from 1 species
AUGUCAAGAUUUGGACAAUUCAUAAAUGCACUCUUAAACCUUUCCCAUGCCUUCGAAUAUGUUUCAAGAUCCCUCUGUUUGAAAGUAUAGACUUCAUUUUGAAUUU